UCGAAUUAAACCGUGUUAUUCAAAACCAAUUCAAAUACAAAGCAUUUAAUAAAAUUAGUCCGAAAGAAAUACAUCAUUAAAUUGAAUUAUAAAAAUAUUUCAAAUAAAUCGAACAUAAAAUUUGUAUACAUUAUUAAUUAAAACCGAAAUAAAUACAAUUAUCCCAAAGACACCGAACCGUUCAGAUAUCCAACUACUCGGCAAGCUCACCUGCAAUGGGAAGAAAAAGGGGUGAUCAACAGGGGAAUCACUCAGUGAGGUAUGGGAUGUUAAACCGCAAACCACUGGCUCAGUACGUAGCACUACGACUAUGUAGGCGUAGCUCUAGCAUGAAACAAACACGACACCUAUUGUGCCACACAUAACAACCAAUGCACUUAUAAGACAUAGCUAUUCUUUGCACCCCGCAUUCUCCUCGUACGGAUAUAAAUAUUUAUAUUCAUGUAUACCAAAAGUAUGCGUAGUACAAAAGUGCUUCCAUGUACUCCCACAUUCUCCUCAUACACAAUGAUACGUAGUAUAGAAGUACUUCCCUAUACUCCCGCAGCUCAUGCGGGGUACAGAAGUGCUUCCCUGUACGCCCCGCAAUCUCUACACAAACAAUUGCCACGUCUCAUACGUGGUACAUAAGUGCUUCCAUGUACACCCCGUAAUCUCCACACAAAUAGGCCGAUACAGAAGUACUUCCCUGUAUCCGGCUAACCAAUCCAUACUAUAUGUAUACUUAUAUAUAUAUAACCGUCUUUUAACAUCAAACAAAUCAAUCAACAGUUGAAUCAUCUAAUUCCCUAUUUCGGUUUAGACAAAAAAUAAAAUAAAAACAAACAAGACACCAGUUAAACUCGAUUCACAGAGACGGAACAUGUUUCGAAACUAAACUUUUCAUUAUAGUAGUACUAAACUAGCACGAAAUUAAACGGAAUAACCCUCACCUUAGCCAAUAUUAGAGAUUCAUCGGAUAAUACUCGGGAACUGAUAUGCCUCCUCAAACGUCUAGGCUUUAGAGAGAAUGACUUGGCAAACAAAUCACCCAUAAGGUCUUUAAUUCUUUCCUACGCAUGCACAACUUAUGUCACAAUUAACCUUCACGGCUUGGAAUCGUAAUGGCGGAUCUCUCCGGUGACUCACGGUUGGGAUCACGGCUGGUCAGACUGAAACGGCUCCGGUCGUGGUGCUUG
rnacentral:lncRNA from 1 species